UUUCUUUUUCUCGGAUUUUUCGCGAUUAUUUUCGAUCGCGAUUUCCGAUCUGUUCUUCGCUUUAGUAUAACUUUUCGCUCGUUUAUCGGAAUCAGGCGAUUCAAGCGCCUAGAGUUUCAUCUCGAAACCCUCUUUUCGUUUAAUCAACCUAAACAAGUUUUUGCUACUGUAAAAUUUGACUUAGGUCCAGAUUAGUAAACGGAGAUUGUUUCUUUCGCCGUUUGAGUUUCGUUGCUUCGUUCGAUUUGAUUCUUUUUGCAAACCGGAGUUCUUAAGUUGAACUUUCUGGUUAGAUCUCUUAUUUUGAGUUUUACCCGUGCACGGUUGCUUGAUUGCUUAUGUAUGUAUUGUUUGUUUGCGAUAGAGUACCCGGAGUGCGAAGCGUGCUACUACGAGUCUCUAGGUUUCACGGAUCAUCAGCAAGGCAAGUAACACUUUGAUCAUACCUCUUUACCACCCAGUUUUAUUGCAUUAGAUCAACCCUCAAACUAUUGCAUGGUUAGGAACUGUUUAAUAUGUGGGUUUUGGGAAGUAGAUGAGGUAGUACCUAUUGCCCUGUUUAUUAUCAAACCGUUGGGAGUUACUUCUACGUUUGCUUAUAUUGCUAUGCUAUGCUCGUAGACGUGGAUUGGGUUUGAGUGAAUUUCCAUGACAGGUGUGAGGAUGUUAAUUAAUGGUUCAACUUAAGGUGGUUACUUUAAUUCACAUCUGGGUCGAUUGAGGCACCUGGGGAACCCAGUGUUGCCUAUAUUUUUGGAUAUCCCGGAGUACCCGUGAGAUUAUCCUAUGGACCGCCACCCAGGCUCAAAGGGAUCAUGAGAUUAUUCAUGCUAGAAACUUCCGUGUGCAGCCACAAGCUAUUAUGGGCUCUAGCAUAGUUGAGUAUGUUGCAUGACCUCUUUCAGUGGUGGGCUAGCAGAUGUAGGGGAAAGUAGGUGUAACUGUCCACCCGGAGUAAAGAGUUAUUGUUUCUGAAAGACUGUGUCUCGGUCAUCCGUUUCUCAAACACCAUGUAGUGCGAGAAAUCAAACGGAGGAGAUCGAGUCUUGUGGGGAAAAGUGUGCAAACCUCUGCAGAGUGUACAAACUAAUCAUGGUUAGCCGUGUCCCCGGUUAUGGACAUCUUGAGUAUCUAGUUCUUGGAUUAUCAUGUGAAUCUCAUCAUCAUGUUACUUAAUUUAAUUUGAUUGGGUUAAUCACGUUCUUAAUUGGGAUUGAUUUGGAGGUACCUUCGCAAUGUUUAACAACCACCAUGAUAGUUUAAAAAAUUAUUUCUUUGCUGUAGGGAAAAAUUGGCUUUUCGCAAAACUAUAACCAUAAAGCUUUCCACCAGCCAUAUAUGCAUGUAGAGAUAGCAUUAUUCUAUUCAUUACUCUCUAUGUGUUACUUUGCCAGCAUAUUCCAUGUGCUAACCUGUUUUCGGGCUGCAGCAUUCAUGUUGCUGACUUUUCAGACGACGAGUAAGGUGCCAUAGGUCGUGGUCUUAUACUCAGUGAUGCCGUUGGAGUUGAUGGACUCACUUUAUCUUCCAAGCCUUCCGUUGUUAUCGUAUUUAGAUGGCCUUAAGCCAUAUUAAUUGUAAUAAGUUCUCUCUAGAGACUAUUCGAUGUAAUAAGUGUGUGAUUGCUACUCUGUUAUAAAUCCGUCAAGUACUGUGCGUGUCAGCAUUACCGAUCCAGGGAUGACACUGAUGCACAGAGACUAGACUGUUUGAGGUCUGGUUGCUACAAGAUGGUAUCAGAGCACACGCUGACUGUAGGACACGGCCACUAAGCUAAAGCCCUAGAUCACUACUCUCUUCUCAUUUCUGACUCCUCUCCUUUCUUCCACUCUUUUAGGAUGGCGGAUGCAAGGAACAAAUUCGCGCAACCGGAUGAGGAUACACCUUUUGGACGACACUUGAAGGAAGUUACUAGGUACCUGAACAUCGGAAUACCAAGCUUCACCGGGACCUACAACGCCACACUACCAGAAGAGGAGCGCUGGAUGAUUCAAGUUCAAGUUCCAGGAAGGACGUUCAUGCCAGUCACUGAGCCCAUAGAGUUUUCCUUUGAUGCACCAACCUGGAGUCUAGGAAAGAGCAUGGCAGCCCACAUCACCAUGGGACGCAUUGGAGAAGUGUACCACAAUGAUCUCAAGGAUAAUAUCUAUCAUAUUUGUGGGCGCCGAGAUGAGCAAUGGGAGAUGAUCAGCACUAGGAAGGAUAGAUCUAUUGCAGCUUUCAUUCAGGAGUUAAACCAGCACAUUCGUCGCCAGGAGAACCAGAUGUGCGCAGGCAUGAUAGAUCUGAAGAAGGCAAAGACCAGGAUCACGGAGCUGGAGGAAGAACUCAAGUCUACACGCGAUGGAUAUGAGGAGGAAAUCGCAACAUUAUUGGAGAAGAAUGGCGACCUGACAAAGAAGCUAGGAGUUUUCAUGGGAGACCCUGCGCCAGGAGGAGAAGAUGACGAUUCUACUUGCCCGGAGAACUACAUCAUCAUCGACGACACCGACUCGGACCCCAGUGAUGAUGAUUUGGAGGAUGAAGCCGGAGCAGAUAUCAUGGAGUCUUCGACCGAUCAAAAUUUCUAGUAGACCACCAAAUUAGUAGUAGUAUUUUCCCCAUGUAUAUAGUAUAGUCCAAGCACUUUGUAACGAUAGUUAGAUCGAUUGUAUGCCUUGUUUGAAUUGAUUGGAGUGAUAUGAUUGUGUUUGUCUCAUGUGCAUAUGGGUAGUGUUUUCCCUCUAGAUCUCAUUCUAUCCUAUUUUCUCAUCUUUUCUAAACCCAUUAGAUGCCUCCGAGACGCGACACCGGAUUUGUUUUCCCACCGGAGGUCACUCGGUUGAUUCAGCAGCAGAAUGCCCUGAUGCAAGUGCUAGUUCAGAACCAAGGCAACAACAACAACAACCCACCACCACCACAUGUUGAUCACUUAGCCCGUUUCUUGAGCUGAAUCCGCCGGUGUUUUCCAGCAGCACUGAGCCGAUUGUUGCAGAUGAUUGGCUCCGCAAGAUUGGAAGGGAAUUGACCACUGCGGGAUGCACAGAUGCGGAGAGAGUGUGUUUUGCCGCACAUCAUCUUGAUGGACCUGCAGCAUCAUGGUGGGAGAAUUACACAGCCACUCACCCCAUUGACACUGUCACAUGGGACUAGUUUCAGCAAGCUUUCCGUACUGCCCAUGUUUCAGCAGGAGCUAUGGCCAUGAAGAAGCGUGAGUUUCGCAACUUACGGCAAGGAGGACGUACCAUUGGCCAAUACGUGGAGGAUUUCAGUAAGUUAGCACGUUAUGCCCCAGAUGACGUUGCUACGGAUGCAGCUAAGCAGGAGAAGUUUCUGGAAGGACUGAAUGAUGAGCUGAGCAUGAAGUUGAUGGUGGCAACUUUUAACAACUACCAGGAGUUGGUAGACAGAGCUCUCAUGAUUGAAGGGAAGCAGCAGCAGAUUGAGAGCCAUAAGAGGAAGUAUGGACAAGGAAAGUACAGUACAGGAGCUCAUCAGAAGCCUCGUUUUACCCCGAACUCAGGAGGACACCUUCAGCAUAACCACGGAGGUCACAAUCACAAUGGAGGGAGCUCGCACAAUCAUAGUGGCCCCAAGAAUGGCAAUGGGAACGGAGGAAGCAACGGACAGAACCGUACCAACCCAUCAACCCCAGCCAAGAGGGAUCUGAGCCACAUUACUUGUUUCAAGUGCCAGAAGACUGGACAUUAUGCAACUGAAUGUCCGGAAGCUAAGAAUGGAAAUGGCAAUGGAAGCUCGGGGAAGAAGCCGAACCCUUUCAACAGGGGACAGGUGAACCACGUUAACGUGGAGGAGGUUGAAGCACAGCCUGAUGCAGUAAUAGGUAAGUUUUUGGUUAAGUCAUUUACGGCAAUCGUUCUUUUUUAUACUGGUGCAUCACAUUCAUACAUAUCAAGGGGAUUUGUGGAUAAGUAUAAGUUACCCACCAAAGUUCUUAGAACACCUAUGUUAGUAACCUCGCCAGGAGCAGAGUAUAUGGCAAGCCAAGGAUGUUUUCAGAUGCCAUUGGCCAUAGGUAGGCAUGUUUUCCCCUCAGACCUAAUAGUUUUGGAGUUGCAAGGUUUGGAUGUGAUUUUGGGAAUGGAUUGGCUAUCGAUGUAUGGAGGAAACAUCGAUUGCGCCAGUAAGACGAUCUUGCUUACUACCCCAGAAGGAAGAAGGAUUAAGUAUGUAUCCCGGCAUGUGCCGAAGAGGACUCAAGUGAAUUCCUUAUCAGGAGUUAUACAGGAGGAAGUGCCAGUGGUGAAGGAUUUCCCUGACGUAUUUCCAGAGGAGUUGCCAGGCAUGCCACCGGAUAGAGACAUUGAGUUUUUGAUUGAGCUUUUGCCACGCACAGGGCCGAUAUCUAAGAGACCGUACAGGAUGCCCGCUAAGGAUUUGGAAGAAAUUAAGAAGCAGAUUAAGGAGUUACUGGAUAAAGGAUAUAUUCGCCCAAGUUCGUCACCUUGGGGAUCACCAGUACUUCUAGUGGAGAAGAAAGAUGGACCGUUGAGGAUGGUUGUUGAUUAUCGUGGAUUGAAUGAAGUAACAAUCAAGAAUAAGUACCCACUGCCGAUGAUCAAUGAUCUGUUUGACCGACUACAAGGAGCUAAAGUAUUUUCCAAGAUUGAUUUGCGAUCAAGAUACCACCAGUUGAAGAUUCGAGAGCAGGAUAUACCCAAGACAGCUUUUACCACAAGGUAUGGGCUACAUGAGUACACCGUUAUGUCAUUUGGCCUGACUAACGCACCUGCCUAUUUCAUGAACAUGAUGAACAAAGUGUUUAUGGAGUUUUUGGAUAAGUUCGUCGUAGUGUUCAUUGAUGAUAUUCUGGUCUAUUCGAAGAAUGAAGAAGAGCAUAAGGAGCAUUUGCGUUUGGUACUUGGAAAGCUCAGAGAACAUCAGUUAUAUGCCAAGUUCAGCAAGUUCGAGUUUUGGUUAAAGGAAGUUGGAUUCCUUGGACAUGUUAUAUCCGGAGAAGGAAUAGCAGUAGAUCCCACCAAGGUUAACACUGUGACAAAUUGGGAAUCACCCACGUCAGUUGGAGAGAUCCGGAGUUUUCUUGGACUCGCAGGAUACUACCGGAGAUUCAUUGAGAAUUUCUCGAAGAUUGCAAAACCUAUGACCGAGUUGUUGAAGAAGGACACCAACUUCAAUUGGACGGAGGAAUGUGAGGCUAGUUUCCAGGAGUUGAAGAAACGUUUAGUUACAGCGCCAGUGUUGAAUCUGCCAGAUCAACGCAAGGAUUAUGAAGUAUAUUGUGACGCUUCUCGUCGAGGACUUGGAGCAGUGCUAAUGCAGGAGGGAAGAGUUGUUUCGUAUGCCUCACGACAACUUAAACCCCAUGAGUUGAAUUAUGCUACACAUGAUUUGGAGUUAGCAGCCGUAGUGCAUGCGUUGAAGACAUGGUGGCAUUUUCUCAUCGGAAACCAUUGUGAGGUGUACACGGAUCACAAGAGUUUGAAGUACAUUUUCACGCAGAAGGAGUUGAAUCCCAGGCAAAGGAGAUGGUUGGAGCUCAUUAAGGAUUAUGAUAUGAGAUUGCAUUAUCACCCAGGGAAGGCUAACGUGGUAGCCGAUGCGUUGAGCCGCAAGAGCCAUGUCAACACACUCAUGACUGGAGAGUUACCCAAGGAGUUAGCAGAGGAUCUUCGCGAACUAUGUUUGGAAAUAGUUCCGAGAGGCUAUGUAGCAGCAUUGGAGAUUCAGUCUACUUUGAUGGAUAAGAUCAGAGAAGCUCAGAAGACCGACAAGGAGAUUGCUGAGAUAAAGGAACGAUGAGUAAAGGAAAAGCCAAGGGAUUUCGUGAGGAUGAGCACGAUACCUUAUGGUUUGAGGACCGCGUUUAUGGGCCCAAUGAUACAGAGAUCAGGAAGUUGAUCUUGCAAGAGGCCCAUGAUUCGCCGUAUUCAAUUCACCCAGGAAAUACUAAGAUGUACCUGGAUUUAAAGGAUAGUUUCUGGUGGACCGGAAUGAAGAAGGAUAUUGCGGAGUAUGUAGCAGUUUGUGAUGUAUGUCAAAGAGUGAAGGCAGAGCAUCAGAAGCCAGCAGGAUUGCUACAACCAUUGCCGAUACCCGAAUGGAAGUGGAAUAAGCUAGGCAUGGAUUUUAUCACGGGAUUGCCCAGGACUCGUUCAGGCUAUGACUCGAUAUGGGUUGUAGUCGAUCGUUUGACGAAGGUAGCUCAUUUCAUCCCAGUAAAGACCACUUAUACCAGUGCUAAGUUGGCAAAGAUAUACAUGACCAGGAUCGUAUGUCUGCAUGGAGUUCCGAGGACCAUUGUAUCAGAUAGAGGAACCCAGUUUACCUCAAAGUUCUGGCAGCAGUUGCAUGAAACUUUGGGUACCAGGCUAGAGUUCAGUACAGCCUUUCAUCCAUAGACAGAUGGAUAGACCGAGGGAGUCAAUCAGAUUUUGGAGGACAUGCUGAGAGCUUGUGCGCUAGAUUAUGGAUCCAGUUGGGAUGAUAAUUUACCGUAUGCAGAGUUUUCUUACAACAAUAGCUACCAAUCCAGUUUGAAGGUGGCCCCUUUCGAAGCCUUGUACGGGAGGAGAUGCAGGACACCGUUGUUGUGGGACGAAGUUGGAGACCGCCAGUUGUUUGGACCAGAUUUGAUUAAAGAGUCUGAACAGAAGGUGAAGUUGAUUCGCGAUAGGCUCAAGGUAGCCCAGUCCAGGCAGAAGAGUUAUGCGGAUUCUAAACGCAAGGAGACAGUUUACGAAGUCGGAGACGGAGUUUAUCUUCGUGUGUCCCCACUUCGAGGAGUUAAGCGUUUUGGAGUUAAGGGAAAGUUAGCGCCACGUUUUGUAGGACCAUACAAAGUUUUGGAGCGUAUGGGAGAAGUUGCUUACAAGUUGGAAUUGCCCGAAGGAUUGUCGGGAGUUCACGAUGUGUUCCAUGUUUCUCAGUUGAAGAAGUGCCACGCAGAGAUGGCUGAUAUUCCUUUGAGAGAUACAGUGCCCCUGGAAGCGAUUCAGUUGGAUAGCGAUCUAACCUACGAGGAGAAACCAGUUAAGAUUCUUGAGUUUGCCAGCAGGGUCACCCGCAGCAAGGUUAUCAAGUUUUCAAAGUUCAGUGGACCCACCAUACCGAGGAUGAAGCCACCUGGGAGCCAGAGGAAGAUCUACAGAAGGACCACCCUCACCUAUUUUCUAGCCAACCCGAAUCUCGAGGGCGAGAUUCAUCUUAAGGGGGGUAGGUUUGUAACAUCCCAAAUUUUCAAUUUGGAAUGUUAUACAAUAGAUCAUCAUUGCAUAUCAUAUUUUUUUGCAUCUUGACUAGAUCCUAGAAAUUCUACGCAACUCAAGGACCCACGGAGAGAGUUGGGGAUUUUGUUAUUUUCAUAUUUGGGUUUUCUCAAAUUUUGAAAAUAGGAUCAUUUGAUUUUAUUUAUUUUAUCUUCAAUUAUUUCAAUAAUAAAAAUAAGAGAGAGGGAAUAAAAUGACUUUCCCAAAAUAAAGAAAUAUUGAGGAUUUAAUAAUAAAAUCAAAUAAGAUUUUAUUUCGGAUUUUAUCGCUAUUUUAUUUGCCUAGGAAAAAUAUGCGUUUUUCAAAAUUUCAUUUUAGGCCCAAAUAAAUGUUCAUCUUGUCCGUCUUGUUUUUAGAGGACGGGGAAAAUUUAUUUCGGGAUUUUUGGUGUCCGUUUAGUAUUUAUUUUAUUUGUUUUUCUGCGCGGAAUAUUAAAAAAAAAGAGUCCACCGCCUUAGCUGGGCCGUACCCGACCCGGACUCGUCCGGCCGGCCCCUUUAAAAGGCCGCGGCCCGACCCCACCGCCAGCACAAGUCGCUGCCCCCGCAAACCCUAACCCUAACCGUGCCCCGCCGCCGCCGUUGCCGCCGCCCCGUCGUCUCGCCGCCGUCCCGCCAACCACCGCCGGAGCCGCCGCCCGCCGGAGGUAGCCGCCGCCCCGCCCGACCGCCGGUUUUCUUUGAAAACUGAUCGGGUUUUUUGUGAAACCCUAGAUCCGGUUUUUUUUGUUUUUCUCGGUUCGGUUUUUUUAGAUUUAUUUAUUUUGCGGACGUUCGUCCAUACGUUCGUUUUAACGAACGGUUUUCGUCGUUUAACCGCAGACAGCGAACGUUCGUUCGUUAGCCUGUUCGUCAGUUUUUCUUUUUCUCAGAUUUUUCGCGAUUAUUUUCGAUCGCGAUUUCCGAUCUGUUUUUCAUUUUAGUAUAACUUUUCGCUCGUUUAUCGGAAUCAGGCGAUUCAAGCGCCUGGAGUUUCAUCUCAAAACCCUCUUUUCGUUUAAUCAACCUAAACAAGUUUUUGCUACUGUAAAAUUUGACUUAGGUCCAGAUUAGUAAACGGAGAUUGUUUCUUUCGCCGUUUGAGUUUCGUUGCUUCGUUCGAUUUGAUUCUUUUUGCAAAC
rnacentral:lncRNA from 1 species